CCGCAUUUCCGAACUCCGGCGACGGUGCCGCUCUGGGCCGUUCCGAACAAGGAAGGGGGCGAAACGGAGGAAGGCGGAAGCGACAGCGCAGCUGGUGAGUUCAAUCGCGUCAUCCCGCACUUCUCGAGGGCACGGGUUUCCAAAUUCAUAUCCUACCACUAUAGCGCAUAUGCAUCAUGUGGGGGCGAAAUCUUCUCGGAAGUUUUCCAAAGCUAGACUCGGGUAUGCAAAUUAGCAAAGCAUGCAUCUUCUGGAGAACUGCAUCCCAAGACAGGGUUUUCGUCAUGGAAUUGGGGGUGGACAUACUCCAGGAGCCUCAAGGACUUCUAAUUCGAGCGCGAACGAAUUUAAGAUGCUAGGAUUGAUGGAAACUGGGGAUUUUUUUUGUUUGUUUAUAACGCACCGAUGCUACAUUUCGCCUCGCCUGUAAACUGGACUCAUAGUAACAACUCCAUAUAUCCUUGGAUUGUAUCUGCUAUAUGUCAGUGGUGUGGCACCAGUGCCAAACAAUCAUUUCCCUUCGAUUUGGUCGUGAAUGCAAUUAUGGACAACAAUAACCCACUGGCCGUAGUUCCUCGCAAACUCAAGACUAGGAUAUGCAUAAUGUGGAGGAGAAAUCUUUGUGGAAUUUUCAGAAAAGAAAAGGGGCGGAAUUUUCGUGGCUAUGGAUUAUAGGUUUGGAUUUCCUGGUGAUAUUUUAGUUUCUCUAUCGAUAGUUGUGGCACGUCAUUGACUUACCAAAUGGUUUCUAUACUUUGUUGAAGAUUUGGAUAUGUAAAUAAGCAAAACAUGCGUCUUCCGGAGAAAUGUAUGUGUUGGAACAUGGGGGGUUACACAUUCCCAAAAUCUUUUUAUUCAAGUAGAAAUGAAUUUACAAAGCUAAGAUUGGUAAAAGAACUGGAAAAUAGUUUUAUGGCACUGGCGCUACAUUGCACCUUGCCUAGAAAUUUGACUCAAAGCAAUAACUCCAUUGCACGUUGAAGGAUCGCAUCUGUCACAUUUACAGUGUUCCGCUGGUGUCUUAUUAUUUUCCUUAGAUCUGGUUUGUGAAAACGCAGUUAUAUAAACAUUAGUACAGUGACUUAUAGCUAACAACUUUCCAUAUAUUAUAGCAUUUGCCCUAUUUGGAAUAACCAACUUAUUCAGUAGGCACAAAAACUGUCAAACUCUGUCUUUACAUUUCCCCCCCAUCUGGCAUCAAAUGCUUGAAAAAUGAUGCUACCAGCAAAAGGACUGAUCAUGAGAUCAGUCUUUCCCUGCUUUGAUUUGCAUAUUGUACAGUCUCGAGUAAACACCAUUGCUUGCUGAGACUAAUGUUGCGUGGCUACCCGUCUCUACCACCUCACCUUUGUCCAUGACGACAAUUACAUCUGCGUUUGUGACUGUGGACAGCCUGUGGGCAAUCGUGAUACUUGUGAUCUUGCUUGAGAGCUCACCCUUGUUUUUCCACCCUUUUGCACCGAGGGUGUUCAUUACCACCCUCUCAGAUUCACCAUCUAGAGCACUUGUCGCCUCAUCUAGUAGCAGUAUGACGGGCUUCUUCAGUAUAGUUCUUGCCACAGCUAUCCUCUGCUUUUGACCUCCGGAAAGUUGGCCUCCUUUGUCCCCGACCACGGUAUCAUACCCUUUUGACAGGCUGCUUAUGAAGUCAUGGAUGUUUGCCUCCAUUGCGGCCUCCACUAUUUCUGUUUCUGAUGCGCCUUCAUUUCCAUAGCUGAUAUUCUGUCUUAUAGACAGGUUGAACAAGAUUGGCUCUUGCUGCACCAGUCCUAUCUGCUUUCUCAGGCUCUUGAGGUUGUAGCCUCUGAUGUCCUUACCGUCUAUAAGUACUCGGCCGCUGCAAGGAUUGUAGAAUCUUAGCAGCAGAGCCAACACUGUGGAUUUUCCCGAACCACUUGGCCCAACCAAUGCGACCCUUUGACCUGAUUCGAUAGCUAGACUGAAUCCAUCUAGUAUGAUCACUUCUGGUCUCGAGGGAUAGCUGAAACUGACAUCUUCGAACUCAACAUUACCUACAAUUCUGUCCUCACCGUUCAAUUUUGGUUCAUCCGGCACAAUCUGUGUUUCUCUGUCGAGAAUGUCUAGUGCAGGAUCCAAUAUCGCAAUGGCGGACAUGACCAUAGGGAUCAAGGACCAUAGCUCUGUGAUGGAAGGUAUUGUCAUUGCAAAUGCUUGGUAUGAUCGUACACAGUUUUCAAAUGUUGCUAGUUUCCUGUCAAGUAGCACAAUGGUAUAACUCAAUGCAAUAGCAUGUGUCAUAUGCCACAAGCAGAGUGAAAUCCCCUGUACCACACCAUACUUGAUACUCUCAAUCCUGCUUAUCCGCAUCGGUUCUUGCAAUGCCAAAUCUGCUUUCCUGAGUAUUUCUUCUUCCUGAACAAAAGAGGCCACAGUGCGGAUGUUGCUAACAGCCUCUGAAGUGAGUGAGAUGAGCUUCCGGUGAGACUUAGAGUUGUCAGUGGCAAAACCUUUUGCUGACCUGACCUGUACAAGGCCAGCGAUGAAGUGACAUGGCAUCAUAGCCCAUGCAACUAGACCCAUCCUCCAGUUCACUGCUAUGCUUAACGCUGUUGCUAUAAUAAUUGAAGAGAUGCAUUGAACCAUGACAGCCAUUCGAUCAGAUAUAAUCGUUUUUACCAUGGAGGUGUCACUGACAACACGUGAGGUCAGGAAGCCAACACUGUUUUUUGGUUCCUCGAACCAACCUAUUUCACUUCGAAGAACAACUGCAUUUAUUAAAGAGAAUUAUUGUUACACUGAAAACAAGAACACAGUAUAUACUUUAUUAAGUGCAACUCAUGACUUUGUGAGAUACCUGAAAACAGGGCCUCCCUUAGGUUAUUCAUUGCCCUUUCGCCGACCAGGCCGUAGAUAUAGUGCUGGAAGAUGUUACUGAAAAAUGUUAACAUCCCUAUUAGGAACAAAAUAAUUGAGUACUUGCUGACUUUUUUAUUUGCAUCUGCAUCGAAGUAUGCUAUGCCAACUGUCAUGAUAUAGAAAGCAAAUAGAGGCCUUGAGAUCCCAGAGAUUGCUGCUGCUGUGGAGCCCACCAGAACCUUUCCUGGCACCAGUUUAAAAGUUCCGAGGAAUAUCCUGUUGAAAGCAGACGUUCUCUUUCUGAUACUUUGCUUCGAUUGCUUUGAGGUCGGUUCUGGUUUCUUCUCUUGUUCAUAUGCAGCAAAAGAUUGUUCUUUAUACGUUGCACUGUCUUGCUCUUCUUCGACCUGAUCAGUAAAUCUAUUUUAACAAAAUAAACAAGUGAGUAAACUAUACUCUUAUUCAUCAUUGGUUUAGUUGCAGAAAAAACAUAUUUUCAACUUUACACUGAUGCAUCUUCUGGCAUGUAUGGCAUCGAAUAGUUUUCAUUCAUAAUUCCACAUGUACAAUGUGAUUAUGGAUUCCAUAAAUAAACAUUAUAUAGUGUGAAAAGAAGUGUGCAAUUGAUUGCAUUUACCUGUCUUCAUUCUUGCUGGAUUUCUUUUCUAGACUUUGCAUACUGCAUACACUCGAGUAGAAUGUACUUCUCUCCAACAAUUCUUCAUGUGUUCCGUGUUGAGCUACUCUCCCAUUCUCCACAAUAACAAUCUUGUCUGCAUUUAUUAUUGUUGACAUUCUGUGGGCAAUCAAGAUAACUGUCCUCCCUUUCAUAGCUCUGUCAAGAGCAUCCUGAACUAGCUUCUCUGAUUCUGAAUCAAGUGCACUUGUGGCUUCAUCAAGAAGAAGAAUGGGGGGAUCUUUUAGUAUAGCCCUUGCAAUAGCUAUUCUCUGUUUCUGACCUCCUGACAGUUGCACCCCUCUUUCUCCUACCUUAAGUGGUUCGCAAUAAAGCAUAUGAGUGAUGCCUACUAUUAUAUAGACUUGGUUCGUAACUAAAUUCUGUACAACUAGCUAUGUUUGGUGCAACAAAUUGAUGUUGUCCUAAGUCAUUUGGUGGUGCAUGCGUACAUGCUCUGUCUCACUAUGCACCAUGUGACAAAGGAAACACUAAACCUAAGAAUUUUUUAAUACAAGAUAACCUUAGAUAACAUACUACAACCAAUCAGAAAUUCCUGAAACAAUUUAAUAGGGGGACAGAGUGAAAACAUUGCAACAACUACACUCUUGAUUCCCUCAAUGGACGGAUAUAUUAAAACAGAGCUUUCCGAGGCCAGCCUCGAAUAGUCAAACGGAGGGAGUAACGCAUUGCAUGAACUCCUUUCCAAAAAACAAUGCAUGAACUAAAACAAUAUAUCAGUGCCGAACUCAAAAGUAUAGACCACAUCUCUUAAGGCUAUUUAGACCUAUCUGUUAAUAACUUGAAAUUAUUUGAUUCACAACCAUACAAAAUAGAGAAAUUUGUGAGGUUGCCACUAGUCUUUUGUUUCAUAAACAUAAAGUCUUACCUCAGUCGAGUAUUGAUCUGGAAGUUUGGAUAUGAAAGAGUGCACAUUAGCUGUUUUUGCUGCUUCAAUUAUCUCUUCAUCAGUUGCAUCCAGUUUUCCAAUUCUCAAGUUAUCCAUGAUAGUACCAGAAAAUAGUGCUGGUUCUUGAGAGACUGAGCCUAUAUUUCUCCUCAGGGACUUCAGGUCAAGUUCCUUAAUGUUUUGACCGUCAACAGUAAUGCCACCUGUGUUGUUACACGCAAAAAAAAUCUGAAAGUUACACUAUGAAUCAUAUGAUUUUUGUUUCUAUGGAAAACUGUAUUCUGUUUGAAAUGCAAACAUUUCAUCACUGUGUAUGUAAUCUAAAAGCACUCGUGAACAUAAUCGAACACAACAAAUGAAGAAUAUAGACCUCAGGAAAUAUUUAUGCAGGGGUAGCGUUCUCUUCUAGAAGCCUACCUGAUAUAGGAUCAUAGAAUCUUUGAACCAGAGAAAUUACAGUGCUCUUCCCACAUCCACUGCUCCCCACAAGAGCCACCACUUUGCCUGCUGGUAUAACUAGUGUGAAACCUUGAAGAAUCAGCUUGUCUUUACGGGACGGAUAUGUGAAAUCCACCUCUCUUAUUUCAAUAUGUCCAGUGACCUUUUCUAAGAUUCUUCCGUUUGAUUCAUAAUUUAUCGCUGUUUUUCUUUUGAUAACCUUAAAUACUUCUUUACCAGCAGCUUUUGCUUGGCUGAAGGUCUGAAGAUCCGGCGCGGCGUUUGAGAGAUAUCUGAAAUUGCAGAUAAAAAUAUCAGCUGGAGCGACAUCACAUGGUAUAUGCUAGAUUGCUGGAAAUAUAAUACUCAGCAUUACAUCGCAGCGGAGAGGAUAUUAAUGACUGCAGCAAUUGUUUCACCCCCUUUUGCAGAUCUUCUAGUUACUGCCAAUGCUCCAAUAUAGAUGGUCAAUGAGUAUGAACAGAAGGUUGCAAUCUGUAACAUUCCCAAACCUAGUCCUUUUGUAAUUGCCUCUUUCUUGCCUAGCUUGUAUUG
rnacentral:lncRNA from 1 species